GACGAACGCUGGCGGCGUGCUUAACACAUGCAAGUCGAACGGAAAGGCCCUGCUUUUGUGGGGUGCUCGAGUGGCGAACGGGUGAGUAACACGUGAGUAACCUGCCCUUGACUUUGGGAUAACUCCAGGAAACUGGGGCUAAUACCGGAUAGGAGCUCCUGCUGCAUGGUGGGGGUUGGAAAGUUUCGGCGGUUGGGGAUGGACUCGCGGCUUAUCAGCUUGUUGGUGGGGUAGUGGCUUACCAAGGCUUUGACGGGUAGCCGGCCUGAGAGGGUGACCGGCCACAUUGGGACUGAGAGACGCCCCAGACUCCUACGGGAGGCAGCGGGGGGGAAUAUUGCACAAUGGGCGGAAGCCUGAUGCAGCAACGCCGCGUGCGUGAUGACGGCCUUCGGGUUGUAAACCGCUUUCGCCUGUGACGAAGCGUGAGUGACGGUAAUGGGUAAAGAAGCACCGGCUAACUACGUG
rnacentral:rRNA from 1 species